UAGGGAAUCUUCGGCAAUGGGGGGAACCCUGACCGAGCAACGCCGCGUGAGUGAAGAAGGUUUUCGGAUCGUAAAGCUCUGUUGUUAAGGAAGAACGAGUGUGAGAAUGGAAAGUUCAUGCUGUGACGGUACUUAACCAGAAAGGGACGGCUAACUACGUGCCAGCAGCCGCGGUAAUACGUAGGUCCCGAGCGUUGUCCGGAUUUAUUGGGCGUAAAGCGAGCGCAGGCGGUUAGAAAAGUCUGAAGUGAAAGGCAGUGGCUCAACCAUUGUAGGCUUUGGAAACUGUUUAACUUGAGUGCAGAAGGGGAGAGUGGAAUUCCAUGUGUAGCGAUGAAAUGCGUAGAUAUAUGGAGGAACACCGGUGGCGAAAGCGGCUCUCUGGUCUGUAGCUGACGCUGAGGCUCGAAAGCGUGGGGAGCGAACAGG
rnacentral:rRNA from 1 species